AGCGAACGCUGGCGGCAGGCCUAACACAUGCCAGUCGAACGAACCUUUCGGGGUUAGUGGCGGACGGGUGAGUAACACGUGGGAACGUGCCUUUAGGUUCGGAAUAACUCAGGGAAACUUGUGCUAAUACCGAAUGUGCCCUUCGGGGGAAAGAUUUAUCGCCUUUAGAGCGGCCCGCGUCUGAUUAGCUAGUUGGUUGAGGUAAUGGCUCACCAAGGCGACGAUCAGUAGCUGGUCUGAGAGGAUGAUCAGCCACAUUGGGACUGAGACACGGCCCAAACUCCUACGGGAGGCAGCAGUGGGGAAUCUUGCGCAAUGGGCGAAAGCCUGACGCAGCCAUGCCGCGUGAAUGAUGAAGGUCUUAGGAUUGUAAAAUUCUUUCACCGGGGACGAUAAUGACGGUACCCGGAGAAGAAGCCCCGGCUAACUUCGU
rnacentral:rRNA from 1 species